CUAGUCUUCUGUAUGCUUUUACCCUAUACUAUAUAGAUUUCACAGAGGAGACCAGCGUUUCACAAACUGGGAGUCUGACUCAAAAGGGAGUCGCAAAGAGGCC